ACCUGGCUGGCUCAGUGGGUAGAGCAUUAUGACUCUUAAUCUCAUGAUUGUGAGUUCAAGUCCCACAUUUGGUG
rnacentral:tRNA from 1 species